AUUGAACGCUGGCGGCAGGCCUAACACAUGCAAGUCGAACGAAUGGCGGACGGGUGAGUAGUGUCUGGGAAACUGCCCGAUGGAGGGGGAUAACUACUGUAAACGGUAGCUAAUACCGCAUACCAUCGGAUGUGCCCAGAUGGGAGUAGCUAGUAGGUGGGGUAUCGGCUCACCGAGGGGACGAUCCCUAGCUGGUCUGAGAGGAUGACCAGCCACACUGGAACUGAGACACGGUCCAGACUCCUACGGGAGGCAGCAGUGGGGAAUAUUGCACAAUGGGCGCAAGCCUGAUGCAGCCAUGCCGCGUGUAUGAAGAAGGCCUUCGGGUUGUAAAGUACUUUCAGCGAGGAGGCGUUACUCGCAGAAGAAGCACCGGCUAACUACGUGCCAGCAGCCGCGGUAAUAC
rnacentral:rRNA from 1 species